rnacentral:rRNA from 1 species
AUUGACCGCUGGCGGCAGGCUUAACACAUGCAAGUCGAGCGAGCGGCGGACGGGUGAGUAAUGGCUGGGAAACUGCCUGAUGGAGGGGGAUAACUACUGGAAACGGUAGCUAAUACCGCAUACCAUCAGAUGUGCCCAGAUGGGAUUAGCUAGUAGGUGGGGUAAUGGCUCACCUAGGCGACGAUCCCUAGCUGGUCUGAGAGGAUGACCAGCCAAACUGUAACUAGGACACGGUCCAGAUGCCGACGGGAGGCAGCAGUGGGGAAUAUUGGACAAUGGGCGCAAGCCUGAUGCAGCCAUGCCGCGUGUAUGAAGAAGGCCUUCGGGUUGUAAAGUACUUUCAGCGAGGAGGCGUUACUCGCAGAAGAAGCACCGGCUAACUCCGUGCCAGCAGCCGCGGUAAUUC